UCAAGCUGAAAAGAGCGCAAGGGGAAUGCCUUGGCAUCAGGAGCCGACGAAGGACGUGACAAGCUGCGAUAAGCCACGGGGAGGAGCAAAUAUCCGAUAUAUCCGUGGAUUUCCGAAUGGGGGAACCCGCUCAAGCAAUACUUGAGCAUCGUGCGUUGAAUCAAAUAGGCGUACGAAGGGAACGGCCUGAACUGAAACAUCUAAGUAGGGCCAGGAAAAGACAUCAACCGAGAUUCCGCUAGUAGUGGCGAGCGAACGCGGAGGAGGCCAAACCAGAGGAUUUUAUUCUCUGGGGUUGCGGACAGACAUCAUGACCAGAGGUAAUUAAGAGAACGGCGUGGGAAAGCCGGCCACAGAAGGUGAGAGCCCUGUAUCUGAAAAUGAAGACUGGCAGUCUGGAUCCAGAGUACCGCGGGACACGUGAAACCCCGUGGGAAACCGGGUGGACCACCAUCCAAGCCUAAAUACUACCUGAUGACCGAUAGAGGAGCAGUACCGUGAGGGAAAGGUGAAAAGGACCCCGGGAGGGGAGUGAAAGAGAACCUGAAACCUUGUGCUUACAAGCAGUCAAAGCACGUUAAGGUGUGAUGACGUACUUUUUGUAGAACGGUCCGGCGAGUUAUAGUAACGAGCAAGCUUAAGGUAUUGAGUACCGGAGGCGAAGCGAGAGCGAGUCUGAAUAGGGCGUAAAGUUCGUUGCCAUAGACCCGAAACCGGGUGACCUAUCCAUGAGCAGGCUGAAGUGAGAGUAAAAUCUCAUGGAGGGCCGAACCGACCCCCGUUGCAAUGGUGGCGGAUGACUUGUGGAUAGCGGAGAAAUUCCAAUCGAACUCGGAGAUAGCUGGUUCUCCCCGAAAUAGCUUUAGGGCUAGCCUCAUGUUAGAUAUCCGGAGGUAAAGCACUGAAUGGCCUAGCGUCCGAGAGGAUAGCGAAGCCUAUCAAACUAAGAAUGCCGGAAUAUUGAUGCAUGGGAGUCAGACAGUGUGAGAUAAAUCUCAUUGUCAAAAGGGAAACAGCCCAGAUCUACAGCUAAGGUCCCAAAUUGUAUCUAAGUGGAAAACGAUGUGGAAAUACGCAGACAACCAGGAUGUUGGCUCAGAAGCAGCCACUCAUUUAAAGAGUGCGUAAUAGCUCACUGGUCGAGCGUCUCUGCGCGGAAAAUUUAACGGGGCUAAGAUACAAACCGAAGCUUAGGCUGCACUUUUAGUGCGGGGUAGGGGAGCGUUGUGUAAGCGGAGAAACAGUAGCGAAAGCGGCUGUGGAGUUUACAGAAGUGAGAAUGCCGGAAUGAGUAGCGCGAAUGUGGUGAGAAUCCACAUGGCCGGAAACCUCAGGUUUUUGGAGGAAGGUUCGUCCGCUCCAAGUUAGGCGGGAGCUAAGGUCAGGCCGAAAGGCGUAGCCGAUGCACAGACGGUAGAGAUUCCGUCCCCACCGAAAGAUUUAAGCGCAGGGACACUUUUAGAAGGUCGGAGCCAGGUGUUGGUUCUGGUAGAGAUCGAGGGAAGAUUAGUACCGAAGUCCGGCUGGAUAAGAGGCGAGAAAAGCUGCGUGUAUAUCUAAGGUGCCCGUACCGCAAACCGACACAGGUAGGUAGGAAGAAGAUUCUAAGGCCAACGGGAGAAGGGUUGUUAAGGAACUCGGCAAAUUGACCCCGUAACUUCGGGAGAAGGGGUGCUGCAGCAAUGCAGCCGCAGAGAAUCGGCCCAAGCAACUGUUUACCAAAAACACAGGUUUGUGCUAAAUCGAAAGAUGACGUAUACGAGCUGACGCCUGCCCGGUGCUGGAAGGUUAAGAGGAGAUGUGCAAGCAUUGAAUCGAAGCCCCAGUGAACGGCGGCCGUAACUAUAACGGUCCUAAGGUAGCGAAAUUCCUUGUCAGGUAAG
rnacentral:rRNA from 1 species